rnacentral:rRNA from 1 species
GGGCCCGCACAAGCGGUGGAGCAUGUGGUUUAAUUCGAUGCAACGCGAAGAACCUUACCUGGUCUUGACAUCCACGGAAGUUUUCAGAGAUGAGAAUGUGCCUUCGGGAACCGUGAGACAGGUGCUGCAUGGCUGUCGUCAGCUCGUGUUGUGAAAUGUUGGGUUAAGUCCCGCAACGAGCGCAACCCUUAUCCUUUGUUGCCAGCGGUCCGGCCGGGAACUCAAAGGAGACUGCCAGUGAUAAACUGGAGGAAGGUGGGGAUGACGUCAAGUCAUCAUGGCCCUUACGACCAGGGCUACACACGUGCUACAAUGGCGCAUACAAAGAGAAGCGACCUCGCGAGAGCAAGCGGACCUCAUAAAGUGCGUCGUAGUCCGGAUUGGAGUCUGCAACUCGACUCCAUGAAGUCGGAAUCGCUAGUAAUCGUGGAUCAGAAUGCCACGGUGAAUACGUUCCCGGGCCUU